rfam:Gorilla gorilla gorilla genomic chromosome, chr12, whole genome shotgun sequence
GCUGGGCUUGGUGGCGCGUGCCUGUAAUCCCAGCUACCUGGGAGGCUGAGGCAGGGGAAUCACUUGAACCCGGGAGGCGGAGGUUGUGGUGAGCUGAGAUCACACCACUGCACUCCAGCCUGUCGACAGAGCAAGACUUCAUCUCAAAAAAAAAAAAAAAGUCUGUGUCUUGUGUCCAUGGCCUUAAUAUGGUGACUUCUCGGGAGUGGGGGACCGCCAGCUUGCUUAAGGUGAAGUGAACCAGCCCAGGUUAGAAACAGAGCAGGUCAAAACUUGCGUGCUGAUUAGUAAUGUGAUUGUGCCUAUGAAAAGCUGCUGCACUCCAACCUGGGCAACAUAGUGAGACUCUGUCUCUU